GAUGUUUGAAUACUAAUUAGAAGUAUUAAAUAUAGUCUAAUUAUAAAACUAAUUGCACAUCACAUUGUCAAAAUCAUGACUAAUUAGGUUUAAUAGAUUCGUCUCGCGAAUUAGACUCCAUCUGUGCAAUUAAUUUUAUAAUUAGCUCAUGUUUAAUCCUCCUAAUUAGCAUCCGAACAUCCGAUGUGAACCUGCUAAAGUUUAACCACUUGUAUCCAAAUCAUCCAAAUCCCCCUAAGUCGGGGUCCGUCUUGUCCUUUCCAUCCUUUGCUUCUCA
rnacentral:lncRNA from 1 species